rnacentral:rRNA from 1 species
CCUACGGGAGGCAGCAGUGGGGAAUCUUGCACAAUGGGGGAAACCCUGAUGCAGCGACGCCGCGUGAGCGAUGAAGCCCUUCGGGGUGUAAAGCUCUUUCGGCAGGGAAGAUGAUGACGGUACCUGCAGAAGCAGCUGCGGCUAACUACGUGCCAGCAGCCGCGGUAAUACGUAGGCAGCAAGCGUUGUUCGGAGUUACUGGGCGUAAAGGGUGUGUAGGCGGUUCUCUAAGUCUGGUGUGAAAUCUCCCGGCUCAACCGGGAGGGUGCGCCGGAAACUGGAGGGCUAGAGUACUGGAUGGGAGAGUGGAAUUCCUGGUGUAGCGGUGAAAUGCGUAGAUAUCAGGAGGAACACCUGUGGUGUAGACGGCUCUCUGGACAGUAACUGACGCUGAGACACGAAAGCGUGGGUAGCAAACAGGAUUAGAUACCCUAGUAGUC